AGAAAAUAAGACAAGCAGCGUUGUCAACAGCAAGUCACUUGACCAUCUCACAGAUGGCACAGACAACAAACAACUUCUGGACAAGAUGGUUCACGCGUCCUGUUUGCCACAGAGCACAGGAGAGAGGCGGGUGCACUGGUCCUUUUACUGGCAGCGGGUUAUGUUUGAGAGGAAUUCUAAUCUGUACAGCAUCCAGUGGACUGAGCCAUUAUGCGCCCUUACAACCAAACUGCUGCAACAGGCUCCCCCUACCCUGCCUUUAUACAUGAUGUCAUCCUGGCUAAUCAGAACCAACUGCCCUUACUGCUGGUGCUCAACUUUACCUACACCUCACUCAUCAUCGUAGGAGCUUUGGUGCAGGAGAAGGAGAGAAACGUUUUUCGUAAAUUUUGGGAUUUGAUGACUCUCGUUGGGCACAAAUUUGACGUACUUUUAGUCGAAAAUACUCAUUUGUUUCCUUGCAACUUUCUACAGCCCUAAGUAUCUGAAUGGGAAUGUGUUGGUGACUGGCUCACCUCUUGCUGGUGCUGGAUGGAGAUGCGAGGAAGGUGUGGAUGUCUGCGGGUUGACCAGUGGGGCUGGGAGGCUCCAUCUGAGGCUCCUC